rnacentral:rRNA from 1 species
CCUACGGGGGGCUGCAGUAAGGAAUAUUGGUCAAUGGACGCAAGUCUGAACCAGCCAUGCCGCGUGGAGGAUGAAGGUCCUCUGGAUUGUAAACUUCUUUUAUUUGGGAAGAAACUCCCGAUUUCCAUCGGGAUUGACGGUACCAGAUGAAUAAGCACCGGCUAACUCCGUGCCAGCAGCCGCGGUAAUACGGAGGGUGCAAGCGUUAUCUGGAUUCACUGGGUUCAAAGGUUGCGAGGUAAGUCAGGGGUGACAUCUCCGGGCUUAACCCGGAAACUGCCAUUGAUACUAUUUGUCUUGAAUACUCUGGAGGUGAGCGGAAUAUGUCAUGUAGCGGUGAACUGCUUAGAUAUGACAUAGAACACCCAUUGCGAAGGCAGCUCACUACGGAAAUAUUGACGCUGAGGCACGAAAGCGUGGGGAUCAAACAGGAUUAGAUACCCGGGUGUC